ensembl:lncRNA
UUUUAAAAUGGGAAAGGACUAAUCUGCCUCGCUGUAUGCUGACAAAAGAUGGAAUUCACUACCUUUUGAACACAUGGCUCUCGCUGGUGGUCCUACUGUGAGAACACUGAGGGCUGGAAUUCCAUGUCCUCUCAAUCUCCACCACAUGUGUGCAGCAGAUAUAAUCACCUCGUGCCUCAUUUAAAAAAAAAAGUUGGCACCAUCCAAAGGAGGAGAACGAUAAGAACCUUCCGGCACAUUGAUUGAUGUUAUCUUCAGAGCACCAAGUCAGCCUUCCCACUCCAAUUACAAAACCCUGCGCUGAUAAAAAUUAAAGUCACCUUCAUGUACAAUUUAGGAACCUCAGACAGGGGCAAAUCAAGUGUGGGGGAGUGAAAAGAGAGAGAUGGCAUUGUGAUUAAAUCGUGGGAUGGAGUGGGUGGGGGGAGGGGGUGCAGCUAAUUAAAGUGGAGCGAGGUUGUGGUGAAUGCCCGUACUACUCCCCAGUGGACGGUCAGCGCAGAGAAAGGGAGCGCGAGCCGACGCGGAUAGACACGGAGCUGGGUAUUCACACAUAAUUGCUCACCCAGGGAGGUGCCACAGAGACCGGUGGCCUGCCGUACACACUCGAGGUGUCAGACUCUGUCAAGAUGAUGAAACUCCACUCAGCCCCCCCCCCCCCCCCCCCCAAGUCCUGCGCUGAGACUGAGCAAGGUGCCGAGAGGGACGUCGAUUUCAGCUUUAUAAAUCUAAACUUGAUGAAAUAUGAGGACACUCUCGGCUGACUCAGGCUUAGUGUGUGGUGUUUACUGGUAUCCCUGGCAGAUCAAUUUAAUUUCAGGAAACAUCAAAUGAGGUGCACGGAUGACUCAGAGACAGGUGAGGGGAGAGGCACAGAUGGAGGGAGAUGUGCAUGGUUCUGACUGCAGGCACAAAUGCCCCCCCACCCCUAUAAUUCAUGCACUGGAGGUUGUCACACGGUUAGUGUGAUUAAUUAAUAUUUGCCACCCAAAGCCUGAUUCAAGCACUGCCUAAGGAGGAAGACAGAGAAUCAAGAGAAUGCUUCUUCAUUUGUGUUGUCAGGGUUACAAAGAGGAAAGGUGGCCUAAAUCAAGCACACAAGGGACAGCAGCUUCAUCAUAAUUAUAAUGAGCCCGCUUGUGUGUGCAUGUGUGUGUGCACGGGAGAGAGUGCAUAUGGCU